UGGGCGCAGCCUGAUGCAGCCAUGCCGCGUGUGUGAAGAAGGCCUUCGGGUUGUAAAGCACUUUCAGUAAGGAGGAAAGGUUAGUAGUUAAUACCUGCUAGCUGUGACGUUACUUACAGAAGAAGCACCGGCUAACUCCGUGCCAGCAGCCGCGGUAAUACGGAGGGUGCGAGCGUUAAUCGGAAUUACUGGGCGUAAAGCGUACGCAGGCGGUUUGUUAAGCGAGAUGUGAAAGCCCCGGGCUCAACCUGGGAACUGCAUUUCGAACUGGCAAACUAGAGUGUGAUAGAGGGUGGUAGAAUUUCAGGUGUAGCGGUGAAAUGCGUAGAGAUCUGAAGGAAUACCGAUGGCGAAGGCAGCCACCUGGGUCAACACUGACGCUCAUGUACGAAAGCGUGGGGAGCAAACGGGAUUAGAUACCCCGGUAGUCCACGCCGUAAACGAUGUCUACUAGGAGUUCGGUUUUUCGGAACUGUCUUCCAAAGCUAACGCAUUAAGUAGACCGCCUGGGGAGUACGGCCGCAAGGUUAAAACUCAAAUGAAUUGACGGGGGCCCGCACAAGCGGUGGAGCAUGUGGUUUAAUUCGAUGCAACGCGAAGAACCUUACCUACACUUGACAUCCAGAGAACUUACUAGAGAUAGUUUGGUGCCUUCGGGAACUCUGAGACAGGUGCUGCAUGGCUGUCGUCAGCUCGUGUUGUGAGAUGUUGGGUUAAGUCCCGCAACGAGCGCAACCCCUAUCCUUAGUUGCCAGCGAUUCGGUCGGGAACUCUAAGGAGACUGCCGGUGAUAAACCGGAGGAAGGUGGGGACGACGUCAAGUCAUCAUGGCCCUUA
rnacentral:rRNA from 1 species